GGACUACCGGGGUAUCUAAUCCUGUUUGCUCCCCACGCUUUCGCGCUUAAGCGUCAGUUACGAGCCAAAAGGCCGCCUUCGCAACCGGUAUUCCUCUCGAGAUCUACGCAUUUUACCGCUACUCCGAGAAUUCUACCUUUCUCUCUCGUACUCUAGUCUACCAGUAUCACUUGCAUGUACUCGGUUAAGCCGAGCCCUUUAACAAAUGACUUAAUAAACCGCCGACACGCUCUUUACGCCCAGUUAUUCCGAAUAACGCUCGCACCCUUCGUAUUACCGCGGCUGCUGGCAC
rnacentral:rRNA from 1 species